GCUAAACGCGAAGAACCUUACCCAGACUUGACAUGCACUGGACCGUGCUAGAAAUAGCACUUCCCUUCGGGGCCGGUGCACAGGUGCUGCAUGGCUGUCGUCAGCUCGUGCCGUGAGGUGUUGGGUUAAGUCCCGCAACGAGCGCAACCCUUAUCGUUAGUUGCCAACACGUAAUGGUGGGAACUCUAAUGAGACUGCCCGGGUUAACCGGGGAGGAAGGUGAGGAUGACGUCAAGUCCGCAUGGCCCUUAUGUCUGGGGCUACACACGUGCUACAAUGGUCGGUACAAAAGGCAGCGAAACUGUGAAGUGAAGCAAAUCCCGAAAGCCGACCCCAGUUCAGAUUGUAGUCUGCAACUCGACUACAUGAAGAUGGAAUUGCUAGUAAUGGCGAGUCAGCAACAUCGCCGUGAAUACGUU
rnacentral:rRNA from 1 species